rnacentral:misc_RNA from 1 species
UUUUUAAAGUAAUUGAAGGUUUUUUAAGGUUUAAAAACCUUUAACUUUUGUUUGGGAGGAUAGAAGGUUUUUUGGUGGGUUAGGGUUUCGCUUUAAAACUUUCAAAUACUUUAAAAAAACCUUCAUUUCCUCCCAAACACUAAAAAAUUAUAAAUCUCUACAAACCAUGAAAAACCUUACUUUGAAAAACUUUACUUUAUAAAACCUUACUAUACUAUAUCUCCUCCCAAACAGAGGGUUAGCAUCCUCAUCUCUGCCACAUUAAUUUUGUAUGCAUAAAUCUUCAUAACCUUCAAGACACUUUAUCAUUUCAUUAUAUUGUUUUGGAAAUUUAAGCUUAGACUUGUUUUAAAUGUUAGGGUUUACUUUCAAUCAGCCUUUCAAGUUAUAUGGCUAACUCUAGGGUUGCAUGAGUAUGAACUCUCGUAGAAAAUUUUUCUUGAUUUCCUUUUGGAAAGCGAAGUUUUGAUGGAAGAUCAUAUUUGCUUGUGCCUUGUCACAAUGUCACAUUUCCAACUAUGUCCAUUGGAGCAUUGACGAUCAGCUAAAAAAAAAUUAAUAGAAAAUUAAUAGAUCGAAAGAACAUUCUAACUGAUUGUGAAAAAAAAAAAAAAA